GAAGACAUGGCUCAGUGCUAAAGAGCACUGCCUUUCCAGAGGUUCUGAGUUCGAUUCCCAGCACCUUCA
rnacentral:tRNA from 1 species